CAUAAUAAUGCUUCCUUUGUCAUGCGAUUUAUGGGAAGCUUUCCUCUGCUGCUUAGGUCGGUGCAAUGAAUGCAUUGAUUUGCAAGGAUGGGGUUAACAUCCACUUGUCUUCUCUCCCUCUCUUUCUCUCUCUCUCCCUGCUUGCAAGCCUAUUGGAGGGGGCUCUGCUACUGGGGACAUGACGUCACCUGUCCAGUGAUUCUCA